rnacentral:lncRNA from 1 species
CGUAUAGCAAGCGCACAAACGCAGCUCCCUUCUAGAAGCUUCCCAGCCCACAGCAGCUGCUGGCCCUUUGUAACGCCUGAAGGGGAAGGGCGGUGCCGCGCUCGUGCUGGAGCCGCUAACAGGUCGUUGCUCGUGCUCCCAGAAGCUGACGGAGGGAGGGUGGGCACCUUUUCUAAUGCAGAGGAUAUUUUAAGAGUAUCCCUGUCUUGGCCUGGCAGUGAGAGUGCUUGCAGAACUGGUAGCUGUUUCCUGUUGAUCGUGCUUUUCAGAAUCAGUUCCUACAUGUCUUCAACUGUGCGCUGUCUUUAUCUUGCAAUGAAGAACACCUGGAGAACAGGAGGAAUCACUUGUGAACCGGAAGUAUGCCUUGAGCUACAAAGGAGUAUGAGGAUAUUCAGAGGAGUAUGCAACAUUGUAAGCAAAUUAAAUAUUUACUCUGUUUUGACACCAUGACUAUAGAGAAACAACAUCUUUUAAAGGAACUGCAGUUCUCUCAUGUCCACACAUAUUGACUUAUAACUUUACAAUCUCUAAGCAGGGAAUUGGUUCAAUUAUCCCUCAAGGUGUAAGUUUUCUUGUCUCCUCUUUCCAGGGAGCAGAGAAUAUUAAAAUUAAGUCAUACCCUUUU